AGUGAACGCUGGCGGCAGGCCUAACACAUGCAAGUCGAACGGCAGCACAGUAAGAGCUUGCUCUUACGGGAGGCGAGUGGCGGACGGGUGAGGAAUACAUCGGACUCUACUUUUUCGGGGGGGAUAAAGUAGGGAAACUAACGCUAAUACCGCAACCGACCAACGGGAGAAAGCAGGGGAUCUUCGGACCUUGCGCGAGUGAAUGAGCCGAUGGCGGAUUAGAUAGUGGGCGGGGUAAAGGCCCACCUAGGCGACGAUCCGUAGCUGGUCUGAGAGGAUGAUCAGCCACACUGGAACCGAGACACGGUCCAGACUCCUACGGGAGGCAGCAGUGGGGAAUAUUGGACAAUGGGCGCAAGCCUGAUCCAGCCAUACCGCGUGUAUGAAGAAGGCCUUCGGGUUGUAAAGUCCUUUUGGUGGGAAGGAAAAGCAUCAGGUUAAUACCCCGCUGUUCUGACGUUACCCGAAGAAUAAGCACCGGCUAACUUCGUG
rnacentral:rRNA from 1 species